GCGAUGUGGCGCAGUGGAAGUGCGACUGCCUGCAAUGCAGAAGGUUCCGGGUUCGAUUCUCGGUGGGUG